GAGGUUUAAUGUUCUGUCCAAAUAAAACCAUUCCAAAAAACUAUGAAGGAGGUCCAAUUUUGAUAACCCUGUUGUAUAUAAAUUGGACCUUGUAUUGAGACAUAUUGCAUGUUUUAGUUGUAGGUCUAUAUCAAAAUUCAUCCAUUUUACAAAACAUAAAGAAAGUUGAUAGAUCCAUCAUCCAUGGAUUUGAGAAGGUCUUCCUCAUCAUCUUCACUAUCUUAUACAUCAGAUUUGACAGCUGAUAUUUCACUUUUUCUACCAACUGAAGAAAAUACUCCUAAGGAAACAAAUGGCCCAAUAAUAAAUAAGGUCAUGAGUCUCAUAGGCUGCCCAAGAUGCUUCUUGUAUGUUAUCUCAUCAGAAGAGAAUCCCAAGUGCCCUAAGUGCAACACUACCUCGUUUCUACAAAUUCUCCCUUGUCUGGAAAAGUCCAAUAAUAAUUGAGGUAUGAAGAGACAGAAGAGUUGUGAAGAAUACUGCAAGAAUAAACUUUUCUAAUUUAUGGUUAUGUAAAAAUAAAGAGGCUAUCUUUAUUACUGUCCUUUUAUUUUCUGCUAGAUAUAUGUAGAAAUCAGUGCCUCAAGACGUUAUGGUUAAGGAAGAAAAGAAAAAAAAAGUUGAAAAUAAUAUUUUUUAGACUUUUGAAGAA